CACUAACGGAAGGCCAGCACUGACGAUGAAACCUCUCUAAGUUGAAGCCGCGCUUCUUCCACAGUCGACUCUCGAUCAACGCGGCUGACUAACUUGCCGACUUAGCUUCAACUAAGAAGGACAAAAUGCCAAGACAACCACGAUCGCACUUGCGACAUACCGACUUGGUCACGAUCGAUUGAAGGAUAUUCGGCUUGCCACC
rnacentral:lncRNA from 1 species